UACGUAGGGUGCAAGCGUUGUCCGGAAUUAUUGGGCGUAAAGAGCUCGUAGGCGGCUUGUCGCGUCGGCUGUGAAAACCUGGGGCUCAACCCCGGGCCUGCAGCCGAUACGGGCGAGCUAGAAUUCGGUAGGGGAGACUGGAAUUCCUGGUGUAGCGGUGAAAUGCGCAGAUAUCAGGAAGAACACCCGUGGCUAAGGCGGCCCUCUAGUACGGUACUGACGCUGAGACGCGAAAGCGUGGGGAGCGAACAGG
rnacentral:rRNA from 1 species